GCCUGGGUGGCUCAGUCGGUUGAGCGUCCGACUUCGGCUCAGGUCAUGAUCUCACAGUCUGUGGGUUUGAGCCCCGCAUCAGGCU
rnacentral:tRNA from 1 species